AGUGAACGCUGGCGGUAGGCCUAACACGUGCAAGUCGAACGGCAGCACAGUAAGAGCUUGCUCUUACGGGUGGCGAGUGGCGGACGGGUGAGGAAUAUAUCGGAAUCUACUUUUUCGUGGGGGAUAACGUAGGGAAACUUACGCUAAUACCGCAUACGACCUACGGGUGAAAGCAGGGGAUCUUCUGACCUUGCGCGAUUGAAUGAGCCGAUGUCGGAUUAGCUAGUUGGCGGGGUAAAGGCCCACCAAGGCGACGAUCCGUAGCUGGUCUGAGAGGAUGAUCAGCCACACGGGAAGUGAGACACGGCCCAGACUCCUACGGUAGGCAGCAGUGGAGAAUAUUGGACAAUGGGCGCGAGCCUGAUCCAGCGAUACCGCGUGGGUGAAGAAGGCCUUCGGGUUGGAAAGCCCUUUUGUUGGGAGGGAAAAGCAGCAGUUUAAUACCCCGCGGUUCUGACGGUACCCAAAGAAGAAGCACCGGCUAACUUCGUG
rnacentral:rRNA from 1 species